AGCCACCCCACAGUCACUUCCAAUCAGAGGGGUAGGUUGCAGGGCCUGGGAAAAAGGAGAUUUGCUGAUAGAUUACUGUGCCUAGAGAGAAAAUGAAGAAACCUCUCUUUCUCAAGAGCCUUUUUGAUUUGCAUUGGAGCCCACCCCCAGGCACAAAUACUUCUUCAAACCAAUGGGAUUAAGUUCUGUGGUGAUGCUUAGGGAGAAGCACAGUACACUGACAGGAAGUGGGAGAACCUGAAGGUCGUCUGACCUUACAAAGAAUCAGAAUUGGACAGAGUUAGUCUAUGAUGCAUGGCUCUUUUUGUAUUUAUUCUACUGUGGUUCUCUGAGCUUCAAAGACACAUAGCAAGUGUGAAUCCACAAUCAAGGAUAACUUUAUGAAGAGCCCAACUACAGCUUCGUACCCAGCCAAGACUUUUGGGAUUGCUAUUUUGCCAGUUGUCUACAUUAACUGCUGUUUAUUGAACAAUAUGAUCUGUAACACAAAGUUCAUUAUAAAAAAAUGAAAUAAAUACUUGUCAUAAAUGUUA